rnacentral:rRNA from 1 species
UUGGGGGAAGCGCCGCGAAGUAGAUUUUAAAUAAGGUCAAACAUUAUAAAUAAUAAAUAUUGGUUUAUUAUUUGUAUAUCUUUUUCUCCGUAGGAGUAGGAUUUAUUUAAAUUAAUAAAUUAAACGAUUCCCACUCCCCUCACAGUCACAACUGUGACUGUGAGGACUCCUUCCUUUUGCUCGCAAAAGCAAGAUGGAGAAGGAGAAAGAGUCGGAGAAAAUUGAUUUGAUUAUUCAUUUAUUUGAGUAAUUAGUGUAGUUAUUCUUUAAUAUAUAAUUUUAUUAUAUUUUUUACUAGGUAUUUAACUGCUUUUUUUAGGUCUAAUUAGUUUCGACUAACCCAUCUGAGUAACAUCUCAAAAGUCAUAGCAAGGUAGC